CAAUAGCGUAUAUUAAAGUUGUUGCGGUUAAAAGCUCGUAGUUGGAUUUCUGCCGAGGACGACCGGUCCGCCCUCUGGGUGAGUAUCUGGCUCGGCCUGGGCAUCUUCUUGGAGAACGUAUCUGCACUUGACUGUGUGGUGCGGUAUCCAGGACUUUUACUUUGAGGAAAUUAGAGUGUUUCAAGCAGGCACACGCCUUGAAUACAUUAGCAUGGAAUAAUAAGAUAGGACCUCGGUUCUAUUUUGUUGGUUUCUAGAGCUGAGGUAAUGAUUGAUAGGGACAGUUGGGGGCAUCAGUAUUCUGAAGCGAGAGGUGAAAUUCUUGGACCUUCGGAAGACUAACAACUGCGAAAGCAUUUGCCUAGGAUGUUCUCUUUAAUUCAAGAACGAAAGUUAGGGGGAGUCGAAGAUGAUUAGAUACCAU
rnacentral:rRNA from 1 species